rnacentral:lncRNA from 1 species
ACGGACCGUCAAAGACACAGCUGCAAACGCAAACAGAAACACCCCUGCAGGGGCCAGCGCCCCUGCCAGGCGGGGGCGAGUGGGAAAUAAACACGCGACGGGCAGGGAAGAACGCACGUGCUCGCCAGGACAGCGUCUCUCUGGUGCUGGAGAUGGGAGCCAGACUCAGCCAGCCAGGAAGUCAAUAAUUACAAAUCAUUCUAGAAGUUUGCAGCUCGAGUUGGUUAAAAAAAAAAAAGCUCGUCCUUCCUGGUCAAGUAGGAUGCUGUACCCGUCAUGGGCUCUGAUUGAAUGACUCCAGAAAGACACGAACGGCCUCACGGGGGCUCUGGAGACAGAGGGACAGAAUGGGCACAUCCUGGCCCCAGAGGAGUGUGGCACGUUGGCUUCCGUACAAGGCGCCGGAGCAAAACACCAUGGGCCAGGCGGCUACAACCUCAGAGCCUCAUUUCAUUUCGUCAGGGUCAACGGUGGGACGUCUGUGAUCAAGCUCUGCCGAAAAGGGGGCAUUUAGCUGUUCAGCACGAGGAACUGCAUGCUUGGUGCCAGAUUUCCUUGCCCCCGCCAAGGACGUCAAGGCUCUGUCCCUCGGCAUGCACUUGGACUGCGGCCUGGCCGGUCCUGCCCUCUGGUCCUUCCUGGAAUGGAUUGGGCUGGUAUUGAUCGGAGAGAGAGCUCCAGGCAACGGCUGGGCUGCAGCGAGUCUAGUGCAGGAUGCUCAAUGCAGCCGCAACCAUCGUCUGAAUCCACAUUAGCCAGUACAACUGUUUGAAGUCCCUCCAUCCUGCUGCCUGGAAUGCACUUAUGAUUGCUGGAGCUUUAGCAACUCUUUUGGUACCUGAGGACAAGGGAUACACCCUAGACAUUGUGGAGUGGUGAGCUGGAAGUAGGCUGGCUGGCCUUGUCUCCUCCCGCACUCCAACUUCUCCUGCGUAGACUCAGAGAAAAAUGGUAUGAAAGCUGCCAACUUGCAGCAUCCCGCUGGGGGGCCCCACCUUGUCCACUGGAGUCCUACGGCUGCUGUACAAAUACCACCUAUUGGGCAGCUCAGAACCACACGAUGCUACUGUCUCACGGUUCCGGAGGCUGGAAGCCGGAUAUCAUAGUCUCCGCCCGGCUGAGGGCGCGAGGAGUGGGGGGAGUCUCCCCCGUGCUCUCUGCGCCUCUCCCGGCAACCCUUGGCUUGGAGAUGUGGCUGCAGGUCUGCUCCCGUCUUGGCUCUCGCUUCCCUCUGUGUGUCCCUCUGUGCCCUCUUCUUAUGAGGAUCUAGGUCCAGUAUGACCUCAUCUUUGUGUGGGGGUGUGUGUGUGUGUGCACACUUUUUAGGGCCAUACCCACGGCAUAUGGAAGUUCCCAGGCUAGGGGUCGAAUCAGAGCUACAGCCUACAUCACAGCCACAGUAACGCCAGAUUCCAGCCUCAUCCAGGACCUACACCACCACUCAUGGCAACGCCGGAUCCUUAACCCACUGAGUGAGGUCAGGGAUCAAACUCGAGUCCUCAUGGACGGGCUCCUUACCACUGAGCCACAACGGCAACUCCCCAGCAUGACCUCAUCUUAAUAGACCCGAUUCCAUCUGCAAAGACCCUAUUUCCAGAUACGGUCGCAUUCUGAGGUUGUGGAUGGAUGUGAAUUUGAGGGGGACAUGUCGCUUGGGACACUUGCAGGAAUCCAGGUGGUCACCUGCCUGUGAGCUGCAAGGACCUUGGAGAUAUGAACAGACGUUUGGAGCUGCUGAUUUUCUCCCCUUUGCUUCAGCCCUGGCAGAACUGAUGGAGCAAAGACACAGGAGGAAGCAGGGGUGGAACGCUGCCUCAGCGCCCUGGCUUCCCUCUGGAGUCUCAGACCCUCGGUUCUGGCGGCCUCGGUGGCUCUUGGACGGCUUUACACUGUCGCUGUGUUUGUGUUUGGUGUGGGUGCUUUCUUCAGCUCUUACGGUUGUUCUUGGAAGGGCGCUGGUCUUUUCCAAGGUCCGCUCCUGUCUGGGAGCAGCGUCGGCCGACGUCUUCCGUAUCUUUGCCGUCUGUCCUGCCUCUCAGCGGACUUACUUUCAGUAGGAGGUCAAGUCCAUCAUUAACUUUCUAUGUUACCUAUCCUGCAAGCAAUUUCAGGACGAUUUCAAAUCUACUCUCUCUGGCAAAUAACCCUGGGAACUUCAAAAGCUCUUCCAUAGUAUUCCACGGUUGGACACGCCCUCGUCUCACAACCAAUCAGUGAAGUCUUUGGCGAAGACAUUGCAUCUUCAUUUUGAAUACGGAUAAAUUACGAUGCACAGAAUCAAAUCAUUGUCCCAGGGCCUCUGUUACUCAGCGAAAUCCACAUACCCUUGCUUCCAAACUCCACUCCACGCACCUUUUGCUAUGGGAAGAACUCUUCAGUGACAACAUCAGACGGCAACAUGAGGGCUAGAUGUUUCCACAGCUCUCAGUACAGGCAGGUUCGAUGUGAAGUCAGUAAUUCACACAUGCUGCUCCUGGAGCAUUCGAUGUCUGUGCAUCCACCUGGUUUAGGAAGCGCAUAACACGUUAAAUACUAUGAGUCCAUUUGGUUAACUUUCAGGAGAUGGGGCUUCCAUUGGGAAUGAGAAUUUGUUCCUUUUCGUAAUUAAAUUGAUUUUUGAGCACUUUUCUCAUUUAGGGUCUAGGUUACCCAGUGGCUCCUGGGCUAACGAGGCUAUUGUUUUUUGCAAUAUUUGUGAAGUUAAUCACGGGGAAUCACAAGGCAGUCGUUUAACCUUUCCGCCUCAGUUACUCAGUUUGCUAAACAAAGGAUAACUAGGUGUUUAUCAGAAAGGGAGCCAGAGAGGGAAGGAGGGAGGGAAAUAAACCUAACAUUCAAUUUUAUCAGUAUAUGUGAACCUAUGUUAAAUAUAAUAGAACGCUCUUUAUACGCGUCUAAUGUUAAGAUGUGAGCACCUCCUAGGAACACCAUUGUGUUAAAAAUGCUGUGUGCUUGUUACAUGAUGGAAUUUAAAGAAGGGAAUAAAAGGUCUUUGAUAUU